AUUGAACGCUGGCGGCAGGCCUAACACAUGCAAGUCGAACGGUAGCACAGAGAGCUUGCUCUCGGGUGACGAGUGGCGGACGGGUGAGUAAUGUCUGGGAAACUGCCCGAUGGAGGGGGAUAACUACUGGAAACGGUAGCUAAUACCGCAUAACGUCUUCGGACCACAGUGGGGGACCUUCGGGCCUCACACCAUCGGAUGUGCCCAGAUGGGAUUAGCUAGUAGGUGGGGUAAUGGCUCACCUAGGCGACGAUCCCUGGCUGGUCUGAGAGGAUGACCAGCAACACUGGAACUGAGACACGGUCCAGACGCCUACGGGAGGCAGCAGUGGGGAAUAUUGCACAAUGGGCGCAAGCCUGAUGCAGCCAUGCCGCGUGUAUGAAGAAGGCCUUCGGGUUGUAAAGUACUUUCAGCGGGGAGGAAGGCGUUAAGGUUAAUAACCUUGGCGAUUGACGUUACCCGCAGAAGAAGCACCGGCUAACUCCGUGCCAGCAGCCGCAGUAA
rnacentral:rRNA from 1 species